AUUGACCGCUGGCGGCAGGCUUAACACAUGCAAGUCGAGCGAGCGGCGGACGGGUGAGUAAUGUCUGGGAAACUGCCUAAUGGCGGGGGAUAACUACUGGAAACGGUAGCUAAUACCGCAUACCAUCAGAUGUGCCCAGAUGGUAUUAGCUAGUAGGUGGGGUAAUGGCUCACCUAGGCGACGAUCCCUCUCUGGUCUGAGAGGAUUACCAGCCAAACUGGAAGUGAAGCACGGUCCAGAUUCCUACGGGAGGCAGCAGUGGGGAAUAUUGCACCAUGGGCGCAAGCCUGAUGCAGACAUGCCGCGUGUGUGAAGAAGGCCUUCGGGUUGUAAAGUACUUUCAGCGAGGAGGCCGUACACGCAGAAGAAGCACCGGCUAACUCCGUGCCAGCAGCCGCGGUAAUUC
rnacentral:rRNA from 1 species